CAGCCGCCGCGGUAAUACGUAGGGGGCGAGCGUUGUCCGGAAUUACUGGGCGUAAAGGGCGUGUAGGCGGCCUGUUAAGUCAGGGGUGAAAGACCGGGGCUCAACCCCGGGGGUGCCUCUGAAACUGGCGGGCUUGAGUGCUCUAGAGGGCAGUGGAAUUCCCGGUGUAGCAGUGAAAUGCGUAGAGAUCGGGAGGAACACCAGUGGCGAAGGCGGCUGCCUGGGGAGUCACUGACGCUGAGGCGCGAAAGCUAGGGGAGCAAACAGGAUUAGAUACCCUGGUAGUCCUAGCCGUAAACGAUGAGCGCUAUGUGUGAGGGGUAUCGACCCCCCUCGUGCAGGAGCUAACGCAUUAAGCGCUCCGCCUGGGGAGUACGGCCGCAAGGUUGAAACUUAAAGGAAUUGGCGGG
rnacentral:rRNA from 1 species